rnacentral:rRNA from 1 species
GAGUUUGAUCAUGGCUCAGAUUGAACGCUGGCGGCAGGCCUAACACAUGCAAGUCGAGCGGCAGCGCGGGGCAACCUGGCGGCGAGCGGCGGACGGGUGAGUAACGCGUAGGAAUCUACCCAGUAGCGGGGGAUAGCCCGGGGAAACUCGGAUUAGUACCGCAUACGCCCUAAGGGGGAAAGCAGGGGAUCUUCGGACCUUGCACUAUUGGCAGAGCCUGCGUUGGAUUAGCUAGUUGGUAGGGUAAAGGCCUACCAAGGCAACGAUCCAUAACUGGUCUGAGAGGAUGAUCAGUCACACCGGAACUGAGACACGGUCCGGACUCCUACGGGAGGCAGCAGUGGGGAAUAUUGGACAAUGGGGGCAACCCUGAUCCAGCCAUGCCGCGUGUGUGAAGAAGG